UACCUAGAAGUAUUUGUCUUUGUUUUUGUUUUAUUCCCUUGAAGAGAAUGUGAAAUAGUGCUAUUUCUUCAUAUCUUUCCUGUCUAGGUUUCUAUGAAAAUGAGAAAUGUCUUAGUUCGUUCUUUGCUUCCGUGAUCUUUCUGAGACAGAGAAAUGUGUGUAGAAGAUCAACUUUUAUGAAGAAGAUACUCCGUGAAAAUCAGGAAAACAUCUGAGAACAUGAAAGGAUAAGUUCUGAUGACUGGAGGUUCAAGAUCAAGGUGUCUGAGGAGUUGAUUUCUCCUGAGGGACCCUGCCUUUGUUUGCACAUAGCCAUCCUGCUGUGUCCUCAAAUGUCUUCUUCCUGAGAUCUCUUCUUAAAAGGAUGUUAGUCACACUUAUCACCUCAGUGGAAACAGACAUGAUUGUGUCCAUGCAGGAGAGCUGGUGCUGGCCCUGCCUGAUCUAACCCUGUACUAUAUAGAAACCUUCAACAUUUAUAGG